GCCUCGAGCGCUUGCGCAGGACGGAGAGCUGCUCAGGGUCUGUGGGUCGGAUGUCUAGUGGUCACACCCGCGGGGAAGAUCUUCUAGCGGAAACGGAAUCUGCUCCUUUCGGGAAAGGCUGAUUGCGCGGUUACGUGCAGCGUGUGUUGAGGAGUGGCUCUGGAAACUUAAAGAGCCCGACGAUCAAGUGAUCUUGCCAGCUACCGUUUUAAUCAACAUGUUUUAUUUUGUUGUGGUACAGGCUCAGAGCCCAAUGCAAGCCCUGGCAGAUGUCUUCAACACCAGAGUGACACUCAGCCUGAAGGCCAGGAUUGAAGGCUGGAAGUACAGGGGCAAGAAAUACCUUUGAAAAUACACCCUUGUCCAAACUGCUCACUGGUGAGCUGCCUGUGAGCCAGGGCAUGAGGCUUUGGUGGGGUCACUACUUUUCAUUCCCUCCAAGAUGGACAAGAUGUUUGUUUUGUGCACAGUAAGUGGAACAUGGGGCCUCCGGCAGGGUGCUUGUAUGUCCUCUUCAGAAACUAAGGUUUGUACUGGGAUGCAGCACUGUCUGUAUGCCAGACGUAUGCAUGUGCUUUUCAUGAAUGUUUUUCUGUCUAAUCCCUGACAGCUAACCUGAGUAUUCCCUAUCAAUUCUGAGGUGAGCCAUAACUCAGAACUAAGGGUCUGAAGGCUGCUAUCAUAGACCAUGAGCAGCUGCUCCAACCACAGCCCUGGCACAGACCUCCCAUAAGAGCAUUUCCACCUCCUGGGAAGAUAAAUUCAUACUUAUAUGGUCUCUGUCUCUCCAUCUUGUGAGUAUGGGAGGAGUGAUAUGUGCAUGUAUUUAGAGGCCAAAAGUGUCUUCCUAAGUCUUACCUUUUCCUUUUUGAGAAUGAAUCUCAGGCUGGUGAAAUGGCUCACUAGGCAAAGGUGCUUGCCACCAAGCCUAAUUACCUGAGACUCAGAUGGGAAGAGGGAAC
rnacentral:lncRNA from 1 species